rnacentral:rRNA from 1 species
GUGGGGAAUAUUGGACAAUGGGCGAAAGCCUGAUCCAGCCAUGCCGCGUGUGUGAAGAAGGUCUUCGGAUUGUAAAGCACUUUAAGUUGGGAGGAAGGGCAGUAAGUUAAUACCUUGCUGUUUUGACGUUACCGACAGAAUAAGCACCGGCUAACUUCGUGCCAGCAGCCGCGGUAAUACGAAGGGUGCAAGCGUUAAUCGGAAUUACUGGGCGUAAAGCGCGCGUAGGUGGUUUUGUAAGUUGGAGGUGAAAUCCCCGGACUCAACCUGGGAACUGCCUCCAAAACUGCAAGACUAGAGUACGGUAGAGGGUAGUGGAAUUUCCUGUGUAGCGGUGAAAUGCGUAGAUAUAGGAAGGAACACCAGUGGCGAAGGCGACUACCUGGACUGAUACUGACACUGAGGUGCGAAAGCGUGGGGAGCAAACAGGAUUAGAUACCCCUGUAGUCC